GUGCCGAGUAUAGUCCGGUCAAGUAUGGCGGCCUCUCGAGCCGCAGACCCGGGUUCAAAUCCCGGCCGGAGCACCA
rnacentral:tRNA from 1 species